UUCCUGGUGGUCCAGUGGUUAGGACUUGUCAUUUUCACUGCCAAGGGCCUGGGUUCAAUCCCUACUCGGGAAC
rnacentral:tRNA from 1 species